ensembl:rRNA 5S_rRNA 5S ribosomal RNA
GUCUACGGCCAUGCCAUCCUGAGCAAGUCCCAUCCCAUCUGAUCUUGGAAGCUAAGCAGAGUUGGGCCUGGUUAGUACUUGGAUGGGAGACCACCUAGUAAGACCAGGUGCUGCAGGUG